rnacentral:lncRNA from 1 species
CAGCACUUAAUGAUUGAUUGAUUGGCUGGCCAUUGGCGGCAGAAAGGGGAAAUGUGCAAAGAUGCUGCUGAUCUUGGUGAGGCUCGGAAUCUGUUCUUUUUCACUGGGACUGGUGAUCGAGAAAAAAAUUGAAUCGAAAUGAUGAAAUAAAUGGGCCCAAAGCCUACGGGAAGAGGUAAUUUCUGGAAUUUUCUCCCUUUUCAGUCCGAUUCAUCAUUAUCUGCAGGAAAGAGAAAACGGGGGUAAAUCCAUAAACCAUAAUUGCAAAUACAAAGUACUUCGUGUCUCGCGUGUGCUAUUGCGUUAAUUUGCCAGGGCUCUUCUACAAAUUGCAAAUUACAAUGGAAGACGCCUGUUUGAAAUUCUUUGAUCAAAUUAUCAUUCUGUGGGGCUUUUCCUUUCUCUCUCUCUCUCUCUCUCUCUCUCUCUCUCUCUCUCUGUCUCUCUCUGUAGGCCUAGGCCCUAGCUAGCACUAGCAGCUGUAAAAUGCAAAUAAGACACCCUCUCUUGUACAGGAAAAGGGCCACACAGGCUUAGCCAUAACGACUUUAGAUGAAAUGGAAAAAAAAUGGAUAAUAAUUCCUGGAACUUAAUUUUGUCAUUUCUCUAAUGGAACGUUGUAAAAUGGCCGUUGAAUGACCGGAAUCUCCAGAUAAACUUUCUAAUGAGGUCCCUCAUCCUCUCUAUAUUUCUACAUCAAGUCUCUUUCACCCUGUCCUGCCUAGCCUAUGCCACUUAGCACGCGCUGCCUGGCACUGCAGGUUUUCUUUAUCUCUUGUGUUAUUGUAUUGCCUCUUUCUUCGCUAAAUUAUUUUCAUGCAUAGGAAAUUAAUGAAUUUUCGGAGUUUUGAGGGUGAUGGGCAUGUGCUUUCUUGAAUAUAAUAGUGGCAGUGUGCAUUCUUUUUUGGUGGUGAAAAGCUCCGCAUGGGGAAAGAAGAGAAAGACACUAAAAAUUCGAAAAGGUGAUUUUGACCUAAUCCUCCCUUAUCUUACAGUUUUUCACUUUCUGUUUAAGUCACAUGGACCCUACCUUACAAAGUGUUAAACCCAAAUUCCAAAUACCCACCUGUCUGUCUGUUUCCACCUCAUUGUUAUUUAUAUUUCAAAACCAAAUCAUAUUCAUACAUACUUGGGUUUUUUCUCUUUUUGUUUUUCCUUUAGUAAUUAUUGCUUUGAAAUGAUUGCAUUCAAUUAUGUUUGUAAGUGCACCUUUUAGAAAAAUAAUUUUGACAUUUGUUGUUUCUUCAUCUUCUUCUUCCAGUUGUGAAAAUUUGUAUGGAAGUUAGUCGAAAUGAUGGGCCACAAAAAAGCCAAAUAGAAGAUGGUUGUGAAUGGAUGGUACUGUGGGGAAUUCAAAUAUGAGUGUGUUUUUUCAAUAGGGUUUUGCUUUUUGUCUCUAGAAACUGUUAUUCUUGCUAAGUGAAAAAACGUUUCACAGUAGCAUGCCAUGCUUAUUCUCAUGAUCAUCAUAUGUUCUCCAACAUGCUCAAGUGCUAAUCAUCACCCUCUUGACCCCAUCAUCACAUGUGUGAGAGAGAGAGAGAGAGAGAGAGAGAGCUUCCUUCUUGUCUAGCUAGCUAGUUAGUUCGAAGCUUAUCUUUGUGACACUUUUUUAACCCCAUUUCAUUUCACAUUCAUUUAUCUAAGCAUCAUACUUUCCUUUACCUUAGAAACCAGAAUAGCUAUGCUAGAUAUUGUGCAAUGGUCAGUUAAAGCACUAACCAUGUAUAGGGGUUAAAAAUAGGAAUCAGGAAAGAAAAGGUAGGUAUUUUGUAUUUAUAAAGUUAGAUAGCUUUUUGCUUGUGUACAUUAAAAAUAGCCAUCAUAAGUGCUUUCUGUAGAAAAAUAAUAAAAGGCUAGACUCUAGAGAAAGAUACAAAAGGUGAAGCUUUGCUUCCAUCUCAAGCCUUCAGAAAGCUUACAAUACAAUACAAUGAGCUUCAUCUUCAUUUUCAUUGCUUUGCACAUUUUCCAAGCGCAUUGUCCAACUUGGCCUACCAUAUCCAUUACCCAAUUACCCUUGCUCUCAUUUCCCUCUUUUUAUUUAAAGUUAUCUUAAUGCUACAUAAAUUUUUUAGUAGUGCUCUUUCCCCUCCACCCCCCCCCCCCCCCCCCCCCCCCCCACCCCCCAAUGCUAUUAAGUAAUAACAAUUUUGUGGAAUUAUCAAUGAUGAAUUUAUUUUUCUUGUUUUAUUUGGCAUGUUUUGAAUUUCAAUGAAAGAUUGAGACAUUACCUAGCUGUGACGCAAACAGAACAAUGAAUAAGGGAUCAUAUUUUGUCGUUCAUGGCCUGCCCCAUAAAAACAAUGGAAAAAUGCCAAUCUCACAAGCUGGGUGCUGGUGGUGCUAGUGCCACACACACAGAAAUAUAUAUUCAAAUAGACAAAUUGAUUUGGAUCCCAAUCCUCCUUUCUUCUGCAAAUAUUCUCUGAACCAAAUGGGCAGAGAAUAUUCCCAAUCCCAAUCCCAAUCCUCGAGGAAUUGCUUUGUCUUUGAAGGAAAGAUGGAAGAUCCUGUGUUUUCUGCUACAAGAGCAGAAGCCGUUGUGGAGUCAUAUAGGAGGAUAAAAUCUGGUAAAAAUAUUGCUUUGGCGGGGCAGCAGCAAAAUGGGCAGCAAGUUUGGAAGCCCCCUCCACCUGGCUUGUUCAAAGUAAAUGUAGAUGCGGCUACAAAUUUAUCUAAACAAAGGGGAGGGAUUGGAGCUGUGGUCAGAGAUUCCAAAGGAGAUUGUGUAGCUGCAGCAGCUCAGAGAACUACUCUUAAAGGCAAUGUUGCAGACAUGGAGGCUGACGCUGUGCUGCUAGGCAUCCAAGUAGCGAGGAAAGCAAAUUGUGCCCAUUUUGUUAUUGAAUCAGAUUCUAAAGAAGUUGUGGAGCUUGUUCUGAAAAAGAAGAGCAGCUUAGCUGAAAUAUCAUGGAACGUAGAAGAAAUUCAGGAAUGUUUAAAAGGGCAGAACACGACAUCUAUUCUUUUUGUACUAAGAAGGUGUAAUGUCAUGGCUCAUAACUUGGCAAAGGUAGCUUUAGAUCGUGUAGACCCUGUCCUUUGAAUAGGAAACUGCCCAGUUCCCGCUGUGGAUGUUAUUCUCCAGUUUUAAUCAAUGGAAAGGCCUACUUUCUCUCAAAAAAAAUAAUAAUAAUGAACCAUCAACUAUCUAAACGUCGUAAUUCAAAAAUCCAUCUAAGAUGUCAAAAAUAAAUAAAAAUUCCAAGAAGUACAAUCAUGAGAAGAAAAAUA